rnacentral:rRNA from 1 species
CCUACGGGAGGCAGCAGUGAGGAAUAUUGGUCAAUGGGCGGGAGCCUGAACCAGCCAAGCCGCGUGAGGGAAGAAGGUACAGCGUAUCGUAAACCUCUUUUGUCAGGGAACAAAGGCGGGGACUAGUCCCCGGAUGAGGGUACCUGAAGAAAAAGCAUCGGCUAACUCCGUGCCAGCAGCCGCGGUAAUACGGAGGAUGCGAGCGUUCUCCGGAUUUAUUGGGUUUAAAGGGUGCGCAGGCGGCCUGUUAAGUCAGCGGUAAAAGCCCGGGGCUCAACCCCGGCGAGCCGUUGAAACUGGCGGGCGGGAGUUGGAGAGAAGUACGCGGAAUGCGCGGUGUAGCGGGGAAAUGCUUAGAUAUCGCGCAGAACCCAGAUUGCGAAGGCAGCAUGCCGGCUUCCUACUGACGCUGAAGCACGAAAGCGUGGGGAUCGAACAGGAUGAGAUACCCGAGUAGUC